rnacentral:rRNA from 1 species
AUGAACGCUAGCUACAGGCUUAACACAUGCAAGUCGAGGGGCAGCAUGAACUUAGCUUGCUAAGUUUGAUGGCGACCGGCGCACGGGUGAGUAACACGUAUCCAACCUGCCGAUGACUCGGGGAUAGCCUUUCGAAAGAAAGAUUAAUACCCGAUGGCAUAGUUCUUCCGCAUGGUAGAACUAUUAAAGAAUUUCGGUCAUCGAUGGGGAUGCGUUCCAUUAGGUUGUUGGCGGGGUAACGGCCCACCAAGCCUUCGAUGGAUAGGGGUUCUGAGAGGAAGGUCCCCCACAUUGGAACUGAGACACGGUCCAAACUCCUACGGGAGGCAGCAGUGAGGAAUAUUGGUCAAUGGACGAGAGUCUGAACCAGCCAAGUAGCGUGAAGGAUGACUGCCCUAUGGGUUGUAAACUUCUUUUAUACGGGAAUAAAGUGAGGCACGUGUGCCUUUUUGUAUGUACCGUAUGAAUAAGGAUCGGCUAACUCCGUGCCAGCAGCCGCGGUAAUACGGAGGAUCCGAGCGUUAUCCGGAUUUAUUGGGUUUAAAGGGAGCGUAGGCGGACGCUUAAGUCAGUUGUGAAAGUUUGCGGCUCAACCGUAAAAUUGCAGUUGAUACUGGGUGUCUUGAGUACAGUAGAGGCAGGCGGAAUUCGUGGUGUAGCGGUGAAAUGCUUAGAUAUCACGAAGAACUCCGAUUGCGAAGGCAGCUUGCUGGACUGUAACUGACGCUGAUGCUCGAAAGUGUGGGUAUCAAACAGGAUUAGAUACCCUGGUAGUCCACGCCGUAAACGAUGACUACUAGGUGUCGGGUGGCAAAGCCAUUCGGUGCCGCAGCAAACGCAAUAAGUAGUCCACCUGGGGAGUACGUUCGCAAGAAUGAAACUCAAAGGAAUUGACGGGGGCCCGCACAAGCGGAGGAACAUGUGGUUUAAUUCGAUGAUACGCGAGGAACCUUACCCGGGCUUGAAUUGCAACUGAAUGAUGUGGAGACAUGUCAGCCGCAAGGCAGUUGUGAAGGUGCUGCAUGGUUGUCGUCAGCUCGUGCCGUGAGGUGUCGGCUUAAGUGCCAUAACGAGCGCAACCCUUAUCGAUAGUUACCAUCAGGUUAUGCUGGGGACUCUGUCGAGACUGCCGUCGUAAGAUGUGAGGAAGGUGGGGAUGACGUCAAAUCAGCACGGCCCUUACGUCCGGGGCUACACACGUGUUACAAUGGCAGGUACAGAGAGACGGUCCCUUGCAAAACGGAUCAAAUCCUUAAAGCCUGUCUCAGUUCGGACUGGGGUCUGCAACCCGACUUCGUGAAGCUGGAUUCGCUAGUAAUCGCGCAUCAGCCAUGGCGCGGUGAAUACGUUCCCGGGCCUUGUACACACCGCCCGUCAAGCCAUGAAAGCCGGGGGUACCUGAAGUGCGUAACCGCAAGGAGCGCCCUAGGGUAAAACUGGUGAUUGGGGCU